rnacentral:miRNA from 1 species
UGAAACUCUUUUGCUUCUCU